UAAGUCGCAAGACGAUGUAUAGGAGCUGACGCCUGCCCGGUGCUGGAAGGUUAAGGGGAUCUGUUAGAGUAAUCGAAGCAGUGAACUUAAGCCCCAGUAAACGGCGGCCGUAACUAUAACGGUCCUAAGGUAGCGAAAUUCCUUGGCGGGUAAGUUCCGACCCGCACGAAAGGCGUAACGAUUUGGGCACUGUCUCAACAACAGACUCGGUGAAAUUGUAAUUCCGG
rnacentral:rRNA from 1 species